GACGAACGCUGGCGGCGUGCCUAAUACAUGCAAGUUGAGCGCUGAAGGUUGGUACUUGUACCAACUGGAUGAGCAGCGAACGGGUGAGUAACGCGUGGGGAAUCUGCCUUUGAGCGGGGGACAACAUUUGGAAACGAAUGCUAAUACCGCAUAAAAACUUUAAACACAAGUUUUAAGUUUGAAAGAUGCAAUUGCAUCACUCAAAGAUGAUCCCGCGUUGUAUUAGCUAGUUGGUGAGGUAAAGGCUCACCAAGGCGAUGAUACAUAGCCGACCUGAGAGGGUGGUCGGCCACAUUGGGACUGAGACACGGCCCAAACUCCUACGGGAGGCAGCAGUAGGGAAUCUUCGGCAAUGGACGAAAGUCUGACCGAGCAACGCCGCGUGAGUGAAGAAGGUUUUCGGAUCGUAAAACUCUGUUGGUAGAGAAGAACGUUGGUGAGAGUGGAAAGCUCAUCAAGUGACGGUAACUACCCAGAAAGGGACGGCUAACUACGUG
rnacentral:rRNA from 1 species